CACGCGGUAAUUCCAGCUCCAAUAGCGUAUAUUAAAGUUGUUGCAGUUAAAAAGCUCGUAGUUGAAUUUCGGGGUUCUUCCGUUGGUCAGGCUAACAAGUCUGUACUAGCGUGUAGAAUCUCUACCUUCUGGGGAACCAUCAUGUUAUUAAUUUAGCGUGGUGGGAAACCAGGACCUUUACCUUGAAAAAAUUAGAGUGUUCAAAGCAGGCUUACGUCUGAAUACAUUAGCAUGGAAUAAUAAAAUAGGACGGUGGUCCUGUUUUGUUGGUUUCUGAAUCACCGUAAUGAUUAAUAGGGAUAGUUGGGGGCAUUAGUAUUCAAUUGUCAGAGGUGAAAUUCUUGGAUUUAUUGAAGACUAACUUCUGCGAAAGCAUUUGCCAAGGAUGUUUUCAUUAAUCAAGAACGAAAGUUAGGGGAUCGAAGACGAUCAGAUACCGUCGUAGUCUUAACCAUAAACUAUGCCGACUAGGGAUCGGACGAUGUUAAAUUUUAUUGACUCGUUCGGCGCCUUACG
rnacentral:rRNA from 1 species